UAAGAAAUUACAGGACAGGAUUAACUUGUUAUUUAGUUGCUUACUCUGCACACAUGUGAAGAUAUACACUCUAAGAAACUGGGUGAUAGGCGUUAUCACCACGCGAGUGGAAAUAGCAAGCAUCACCGUAAUGGUGAUAAACUUAUCACCGAAAUUUGUCACCAUUGGUGGUGAUUGCUACUACCACCGCACCAUGGUGGUAGCUUCGUUAUACACGUGACUUGCAGAGGGGCAAGUUUGUCCUACUCCACGCUCCACGUACCAGAUACAGCAGCUGACAAGCAGCGGAGUUGCAAACUACUUCGUACUUCAAAGUUUAAGAGGAAAAAAAUAAUACCGUGCCCAAACAGUUAUCGUGAAUUUAAUGGCACAGUUGGAGAGAAAUUUAACUUGGACGUGGAUCUAGAGGACGAAGAAAGUGCCGAAAUUGAAGUAUUUCGACGAGUACAACGGAAUCUCUGCAAAUAAGUAAAUUUGUGGCAAGGUUGUUUUAACGUCAGUGUCCUAUGGCGUGACUGGAAACUAGUCACAACUUAAAUUGCUGGGCCAAUUCCACAAUGGCGAGGGACAUAGGUUUUAC